rnacentral:misc_RNA from 1 species
GAAAAAAAAAAAACUCAUUAUAGGAAGAUUGGGCGCCAAUUGAAGUUUGCGCCAAUCGGCUCACCGACUCUCUGGAAGCAUGACCGUUAUAAUUAGAAUCCUUAUGAUUUCUGUAUUUUAACCCUACUUUUUUCUCUGUUUUCUUUCUCUUUCGCUCAUUUAUCAUCUUUUUUCUUCCCUGCUUUCUUUGGUUUUUGAUUUCAAAUUAUUGUUUGUGUACUUACAUUUACAAUCCUCC